rnacentral:rRNA from 1 species
UACGGGGGGGCAAGCGUUGUUCGGAAUUACUGGGCGUAAAGGGCUCGUAGGCGGCCGGCUAAGUCGAACGUGAAAUCCCCGGGCUCAACCCGGGAACUGCGUCCGAUACUGGUCGGCUUGAAUUCGGGAGAGGGAUGCGGAAUUCCAGGUGUAGCGGUGAAAUGCGUAGAUAUCUGGAGGAACACCGGUGGCGAAGGCGGCAUCCUGGACCGACAUUGACGCUGAGGCGCGAAAGCCAGGGGAGCAAAGCGGG